AAGGGGAUCUCGUUGGUGACCAGCGGAGGGUCAUUACCGAGUUUACAACUCCCAAACCCAAUGUGAACCAUACCAAACUGUUGCCUCGGCGGGGUCACGCCCCGGGUGCGUCGCAGCCCCGGAACCAGGCGCCCGCCGGAGGGACCAACCAAACUCUUUCUGUAGUCCCCUCGCGGACGUUAUUUCUUACAGCUCUGAGCAAAAAUUCAAAAUGAAUCAAAACUUUCAACAACGGAUCUCUUGGUUCUGGCAUCGAUGAAGAACGCAGCGAAAUGCGAUAAGUAAUGUGAAUUGCAGAAUUCAGUGAAUCAUCGAAUCUUUGAACGCACAUUGCGCCCGCCAGUAUUCUGGCGGGCAUGCCUGUCCGAGCGUCAUUUCAACCCUCGAACCCCUCCGGGGGGUCGGCGUUGGGGAUCGGGAACCCCUAAGACGGGAUCCCGGCCCCGAAAUACAGUGGCGGUCUCGCCGCAGCCUCUCCUGCGCAGUAGUUUGCACAACUCGCACCGGGAGCGCGGCGCGUCCACGUCCGUAAAACACCCAACUUCUGAAAUGUUGACCUCGGAUCAGGUAGGAAUACCCGCUGAACUUAAGCAUACUAA
rnacentral:rRNA from 1 species